GGCGGCAGGCCUAACACAUGCAAGUCGAGCGCCCCGCAAGGGGAGCGGCAGACGGGAGAGUAACACGUGGGAACGUACCCUUCAGUUCGGAACAACCCAGGGAAACUUGGGCUAAUACCGAAUACGUCCGUAAGGAGAAAGAUUUAUCGCUGAAGGAUCGGCCCGCGUCUGAUUAGCUUGUUGGUGAGGUAACGGCUCACCAAGGCGACGAUCAGUAGCUGGUCUGAGAGGAUGAUCAGCCUCACUGGGACUGAGACACGGCCCAGACUCCUACGGGAGGCAGCAGUGGGGAAUAUUGGACAAUGGGCGCAAGCCUGAUCCAGCCAUGCCGCGUGGGUGAUGAAGGCCCUAGGGUUGUAAAGCCCUUUCGGCGGGGAAGAUAAUGACGGUACCCGCAGAAGAAGCCCCGGCUAACUUCGUGCCAGCAGCCGCGGUAAUACGAAGGGGGCUAGCGUUGCUCGGAAUCACUGGGCGUAAAGCGCACGUAGGCGGGUUGCUAAGUCGGGGGUGAAAUCCUGGAGCUCAACUCCAGAACUGGCCUCGAUACUGGCGAUCUU
rnacentral:rRNA from 1 species